GACGAACGCUGGCGGCGUGCUUAACACAUGCAAGUCGAACGCUGAAGCCCAGCUUUUGUUGGGUGGAUGAGUGGCGAACGGGUGAGUAACACGUGAGUAACCUGCCUCCUUCUUUGGGAUAACGCCCGGAAACGGGUGCUAAUACUGGAUAUUCACUGGUCUUCGCAUGGGGGUUGGUGGAAAGGGUUUUUCUGGUGGGGGAUGGGCUCGCGGCCUAUCAGCUUGUUGGUGGGGUGAUGGCCUACCAAGGCUUUGACGGGUAGCCGGCCUGAGAGGGUGACCGGUCACAUUGGGACUGAGAUACGGCCCAGACUCCUACGGGAGGCAGCAGUGGGGAAUAUUGCACAAUGGGCGCAAGCCUGAUGCAGCGACGCCGCGUGAGGGAUGGAGGCCUUCGGGUUGUGAACCUCUUUCGCUCAUGGUCAAGCCGCAACAAUGGUUGUGGUGAGGGUAGUGGGUAAAGAAGCGCCGGCUAACUACGUG
rnacentral:rRNA from 1 species